ensembl:ribozyme RNase_MRP RNase MRP
GGGCAUUCAGAAAACUUGCACUCUGGGCUACACACUGAGAACCCGUUUCUCUACACCCGCCCAGGGGAAAGUCCCCGGACACGUGGCAGAAAGUGCCGCUGGUGAGAACCAGCGUUGACCGUCGCGCCGCCGUCAUGAAGCUAAGACGUUCUCCCGAACCGAGCUCGGUGGUCGCCGGUCGACCUUGUCAGCGUUGAUAGAUAUGCAAGUAGGCUGCACGCAGCCGAACACAAUGGGGCUUAUUCUCCGAAUGCA